rnacentral:rRNA from 1 species
UACGUAGGGGGCUAGCGUUGUCCGGAAUCAUUGGGCGUAAAGAGCGUGUAGGCGGUCCGGUAAGUCCGCUGUGAAAGUCGGGGGCUCAACCCUCGAAUGCCGGUGGAUACUGUCGGGCUAGAGUGCGGAAGAGGCGAGUGGAAUUCCUGGUGUAGCGGUGAAAUGCGCAGAUAUCAGGAGGAACACCUGUGGCGAAAGCGGCUCUCUGGGACGGUACUGACGCUGAGACGCGAAAGCGUGGGGAGCAAACAGG